UACGGAGGGGGCUAGCGUUGUUCGGGAUUACUGGGCGUAAAGCGCACGUAGGCGGCUGUUCAAGUCAGAGGUGAAAGCCCGGAGCUCAACUCCGGAACUGCCUUUGAAACUAGAUAGCUUGAACAUCGGAGAGGUAAGUGGAAUUCCGAGUGUAGAGGUGAAAUUCGUAGAUAUUCGGAAGAACACCAGUGGCGAAGGCGGCUUACUGGACAAGUAUUGACGCUGAGGUACGAAAGCGUGGGGAGCAAACAGG
rnacentral:rRNA from 1 species